AACACCUGCACAAAAUAACAAACAUAGUUGAUAAAUCAGAUGAUCAAGUACCAUGUUAACUAAGCAAAUGAAAAUAUAAUAGUAAUCUUUACCGUAAGAACAGUCUCCAGUGAAGAUUUUUUUGUCGCAGGAUGCAAAUCAGUAGGUAUCUGCAAGAAUGACAAAACAAGAUUACAGUGUGGUUCACACAAUGAGAAGGUGUAACAUAUAUCACAUACCCCACGCCCAUCGUCCAUAAUACUAACUGAACCAUCUGCGUGCAGAACAACAUCAACUUUUGAAGCAUAACCAGCUUGAGCCUCAUCAAUAGCGUUGUCUAGUAUCUCAUAAACCUAGGAAAAGAAGUUACAUUAUUAGAGAUCACAUCAACAGCCAAUAGGGAACAAGGGAUUUUAAAUGGAGAAACAUUUUACAUACAAACCACGAGGUCCAGUGCUCCCUAUAUACAUCCCUGGGCGUUUCCUGACAGGGUCUAAUCCUUCCAGCACCUAAUGUAUGUAUAGUAGGAGAGAGGUCAAUAACCAAAGCAACAAGAAUGUGUAAUGAUGAUUAAAA